rnacentral:rRNA from 1 species
UACGAAGGGUGCAAGCGUUACUCGGAAUUACUGGGCGUAAAGCGUGCGUAGGUGGUUUGUUAAGUCUGUUGUGAAAGCCCCGGGCUCAACCUGGGAAUGGCAAUGGAUACUGGCAGGCUAGAGUGCGGUAGAGGGUAGUGGAAUUCCCGGUGUAGCGGUGAAAUGCGUAGAGAUCGGGAGGAACACCAGUGGCGAAGGCGGCUACCUGGACCAGCACUGACACUGAGGCACCGAAAGCGUGGGGAGCAAACAGG